rnacentral:lncRNA from 1 species
GAUGAAAUGGAUGAAUCACCCGAAGGGAUACCAUUUGAGUUCUGGGAGAGCUGCCUGCCGACUUCACAAAGACGUAUUCCUCUCAUUAAUGACUGUUAGUGUAGCAUCAUGCAAUGCUCCUGAGAAACUGCAGAAAUAGUAAUGACCAUGUGAUGGCCAAGGCUGAUUGGAAGAUGCUCCUGGGGAGAGAUGAAGUUUGGAUUUACAGCAUCAGCAUGAAGGAGUUGCAAGCAUUGGUGUUGUAAACCGCACUGGCACCUGACACUAAAUGUGGGAAAGGGAUGGGGUUCCAGAAAUAAAGCAAAA